UGAGGAAUAUUGGUCAAUGGCCGGGAGGGCUGAACCAGCCAAGUCGCGUGAGGGAAGACGGUCCUAUGGAUUGUAAACCUCUUUUGUCAGGGAGCAAAAACUGCCACGCGUGGCAGGAUGAGAGUACCUGAAGAAAAAAGCAUCGGCUAACUCCGUGCC
rnacentral:rRNA from 1 species